GAGUUUGAUCCUGGCUCAGAUUGAACGCUGGCGGCAGGCCUAACACAUGCAAGUCGAACGGUAGCACAGAGAGCUUGCUCUCGGGUGACGAGUGGCGGACGGGUGAGUAAUGUCUGGGAAACUGCCUGAUGGAGGGGGAUAACUACUGGAAACGGUAGCUAAUACCGCAUAAUGUCGCAAGACCAAAGAGGGGGACCUUCGGGCCUCUUGCCAUCGGAUGUGCCCAGAUGGGAUUAGCUAGUAGGUGGGGUAAUGGCUCACCUAGGCGACGAUCCCUAGCUGGUCUGAGAGGAUGACCAGCCACACUGGAACUGAGACACGGUCCAGACUCCUACGGGAGGCAGCAGUGGGGAAUAUUGCACAAUGGGCGCAAGCCUGAUGCAGCCAUGCCGCGUGUAUGAAGAAGGCCUUCGGGUUGUAAAGUACUUUCAGCGAGGAGGAAGGCGUUGUGGUUAAUAACCUCAGNGAUUGACGUUACUCGCAGAAGAAGCACCGGCUAACUCCGUGCCAGCAGCCGCGGUAAUACGGAGGGUGCAAGCGUUAAUCGGAAUUACUGGGCGUAAAGCGCACGCAGGCGGUCUGUUAAGUCAGAUGUGAAAUCCCCGGGCUCAACCUGGGAACUGCAUUUGAAACUGGCAGGCUUGAGUCUUGUAGAGGGGGGUAGAAUUCCAGGUGUAGCGGUGAAAUGCGUAGAGAUCUGGAGGAAUACCGGUGGCGAAGGCGGNCCNCCNGACAAAGA
rnacentral:rRNA from 2 species